AUUUUCACUGACAAAACACUGCAUAUAAGCUGGCUUCAGCUAGGUUUCUUGAGUGAGCCUAAACCCUACUGUGCUUGUAGCCCAUGGAUUACCAUGUGCCAUACCUGCGUGCAUUGAGCCCUCACACAUCAGUGCACUUUAACAGCAACAUGCAACCCAUUUGCCACCACUUUGAACUGGCUGUAGUGAUUUCUAUACUUGUCAUUUGCCUGCACCCAGAUCUUAUGAUUUCCAAACCACAGCAUAAAAGCUGUACAGCUCGUAAGCAGCCAUGUGGAAAAGCAAUGUUGAAUAUAUAUGCAUGCACCAUGUCUGGAAGCAUAGCCAUAUUUUUCUCUGAAGAAUUUGUUUAGGUUACAUAAAAGAAACAGGCAGGAACCCGUGGGUUUUCAUUUGGUGGUUCUCCCUCUGUUCUGCUUGGCUUCUCAGCUUUCAAUAGAUCCCAAGGUCAGGCUGUUAUUUGUUGCUAGGCCAAAGCGGCAACCUCCCACCCUAACAAUGCUACUAUCUUCAUAUCAUCUGAGCUAUAGGGGCCACAUUGUGAUGCUUUGGCAGUGUUGCUAGGGAGGUUGCUAGGUUAGACUGAUGUCACUAUGUGGGUUAUAAAUUGCCUUUACCCUGCUGGCCCUAACUUGGCCCCGUAACACAAUGAUCUAGUAGAUGACAUCGAAGUGUUGAAAUGAUACAUCAGAGCAGCAUCUUUGGACCCUGAACUUGGCAGCAAAUGCACGUUGUAUCUAUUCAGCAAAGGAACCUACCUGCCAUCUAGAGAAGAAAAUAAACAAUUACUUCAGAUAGUACAACCAAAAUAAAAAUGCAUCCUGUCAUGUCCAGAAAUUAACAAAACUCUGAUGAAAAAUACCGAGUUACUGACCUACAUACAUUCACUAAAUAUGAGGCUUUCCCUUAACACAGACUGUGUGCCCUCUGCAUGCCCUGCUGUUGAGAAAAGGAAAGAAGUUUUAUAAAGACGAAAGUGAUAGCUGAGAAAACAAGAUACAACUGCUUUGGGGUACUACAGCCAGUUUUUCUGUUGCAAAAUGGAAGUGCACGAUUAAACUCCAGCAACAUGGAGGGGAAAGAAAUGGCUGGAGAAGAAUGCGGAGCAGACAACAGCAGGUCAGCAUAAGCAUAGUUUGAAUUCUCGCUGUGAGUAAGAACUCCCUUUUUCCAGUGAAACAGUACUUAAAAGUGCUUGGGAUUUAUCUUAUCUUUUUAAGUGCUGCUGUCUCAAUUAAAUUUCACCUGUGAUACCAACAGCCCUCCUGGAGACCAAAAGGAAAUUGAACAGGGUCAACCCACAGCAGUGGUUAUUUCCAGGCCCCGUGCACACCAGAGACAAAAAGGGCACAGAGGAGGAGCAGAGGUGAGAUGUGAUGGUUGGCUGACAAGUCCAGGUCGUGCUGCCGUGACUCACCAACAAGAGAGGUCAGUCUGAUCCGGGAACGGGGAAUUCCCAAAGCCUGAUGGCUAGACUGAGUCACUUGCCUGAAGAAGCCUUGCUUCCUGUCAGUCUUUGUGCACCUGGAUAUGAAGUUUAGCCUGUAGUAGCUCUAAUACUAGAGAAUUACUGGAUCUGCUGUUGUUCCAAUGCAGCUAACUGUACUAAUGAAACAACUUGGAUAAUUGUAUGACUGAUUACUGUUUGUUACUGUACUGUUAUUUAGAGAGAAACAAUUUAUCCCUAAAGCUGUUGGCCCUGUGUCUGUUACCCAAAUUGUAAUGCUGCUGGGCCAUCUAAAACCCUUACACUGGGACAGCCCCGCUCUCAUCCCCCACCCCAAACUGGGACAGGAGAGCAACUCCUCAGGAACUGGGACCUGCCCAGCUUUGGAAUUCAGAAGAGACCUCAAGAUAUCUGCCAUAAUGUGCAUUUUAAAUAAUCUUCCAAGCAAUGGCGCACACAUUUACCAGCCAUCCUAUCUCCUGAGUUAUUCGGAGAGGGAUGCACUGCUCACUUCUCAGUUUUUUCAGUGAGAGAUUUUCUUUUUCACUGUGAUGCUGAAGAGUUUCUAGACCUGUGGGACCCCAUCUCUGGUUCAAGGUUAUAGAUGCUAAUGCAACUUGAACAGAAGGCUUGCAUUGCUAGCAGUCUUUCAAGUACUUGGAUAUUUGCAGUUCAUGGUGUAGCUGCUUUGGUAGUUCAUACGUUUCCCUUGCCAUCUGUGUAUCAGUUUCCAGCAGCACACUUAAACAGUUGCUAUUGAAACAUGGUGUAAUUUGGCAAUGAUUUUAUUAAAGCUGUUUUGAAAUGUCUUUCUACCACCA